rnacentral:rRNA from 1 species
UACGGGGGGGUGCGAGCGUUGUCCGGAAUCACUGGGCGUAAAGGGCGCGUAGGUGGCGUGAUAAGGGUGUGGUGAAAGCCCGGGGCUCAACCCCGGGUCUGCCAUGCCGACUGUCAGGCUCGAGUGCUGUAGGGGCAGGCGGAAUUCCGGGUGUAGCGGUGGAAUGCGUAGAGAUCCGGAGGAAGACCGGUGGCGAAGGCGGCCUGCUGGGCAGUUACUGACACUGAGGCGCGACAGCGUGGGGAGCAAACAGG